UACGUAGGGUGCAGGCGUUAAUCGGAAUUACUGGGCGUAAAGCGUGCGCAGGCGGUUUGUUAAGACAGAUGUGAAUCCCCGGGCUUAACCUGGGAACUGCGUUUGUAACUGGCAAGCUAGAGUGUGGCAGAGGGGGGUGGAAUUCCAAGUGUAGCAGUGAAAUGCGUAGAUAUUUGGAGGAACACCAAUGGCGAAGGCAGCCCCCUGGGUUAACACUGACGCUCAUGCACGAAAGCGUGGGGAGCAAACAGG
rnacentral:rRNA from 1 species